rnacentral:rRNA from 1 species
CGUGUAGCGGUGAAAUGCGUAGAUAUGUGGAGGAACACCAGUGGCGAAGGCGACUCUCUGGUCUGUAACUGACGCUGAGGCUCGAAAGCGUGGGGAGCAAACAGGAUUAGAUACCCUGGUAGUCCACGCCGUAAACGAUGAGUGCUAAGUGUUGGAGGGUUUCCGCCCUUCAGUGCUGCAGCUAACGCAUUAAGCACUCCGCCUGGGGAGUACGGCCGCAAGGCUGAAACUCAAAGGAAUUGACGGGGACCGGCACAAGCGGUGGAGCAUGUGGUUUAAUUCGAAGAAACGCGAAGAACCUUACCAGGUCUUGACAUCCUUUGACCACUCUAGAGAUAGAGCUUUCCCUUCGGGGUCAAAGUGACAGGUGAUACAUGGUUGUCGUCAGCUCGUGUCGUGAGAUGUUGGGUUAAGUCCCGCAACGAGCGCAACCCUUAUUACUAGUUGCCAGCAUUUAGUUGGGCACUCUAGUGAGACUGCCGGUGACAAACCGGAGGAAGGUGGGGAUGACGUCAAAUCAUCAUGCCCCUUAUGACCUGGGCUACACACGUGCUACAAUGGAUGGUACAACGAGUCGCAAGGUCGCGAGGCCAAGCUAAUCUCUUAAAGCCAUUCUCAGUUCGGAUUGUAGGCUGCAACUCGCCUACAUGAAGCCGGAAUCGCUAGUAAUCGCGGAUCAGAACGCCGCGGUGAAUACGUUCCCGGGUCUUGUACACACCGCACGUCACACCACGAGAGUUUGUAACACCCGA